rnacentral:tRNA from 1 species
GGAGCCGUAGUUCAACAGGAUAGAACUGUCCCCUCCUAAGGGACGGAUCUGGGUUCGAGUCCCGGCGGCCCCGCCA